rnacentral:rRNA from 1 species
UACGAAGGGGGCGAGCGUUAUUCGGAAUCACUGGGCGUAAAGCGUGCGUAGGCGGUUCUAAAAGUUAGAAGUGAAAGCCCAGGGCUUAACCCUGGAAUUGCUUUUAAAACUAUAGAACUAGAAUUCGGGAGAGGAUAGCGGAAUUGUCAGUGUAGCAGUGAAAUGCGUAGAUAUUGACAGGAACACCAGUGGCGUAAGCGGCUAUCUGGACCGACAUUGACGCUGAGGCACGAAAGCGUGGGGAUCAAACAGG